UACAGAGGGUGCAAGCGUUAAUCGGAAUUACUGGGCGUAAAGCGUGCGUAGACGGUUACAUAAGUCGGGUGUGAAAGCCCCGGGCUCAACCUGGGAAUUGCGCUUGAUACUGCGGCGCUGGAAGGUGGGAGAGGAUGGCGGAAUUCCCAGUGUAGAGGUGAAAUUCGUAGAUAUUGGGAAGAACACCGGUGGCGAAGGCGGCCAUCUGGCCCACAAUUGACGCUGAGGCGCGAAAGCGUAGGGAGCAAACAGG
rnacentral:rRNA from 1 species